GACGAUCAGUAGCCGACCUGAGAGGGUGAUCGGCCACAUUGGAACUGAGACACGGUCCAAACUCCUACGGGAGGCAGCAGUGGGGAAUAUUGCACAAUGGGCGAAAGCCUGAUGCAGCAACGCCGCGGGAGUGAUGAAGGCCUUCGGGUCGUAAAACUCUGUCCUCAAGGAAGAUAAUGACGGUACUUGAGGAGGAAGCCCCGGCUAACUACGUGCCAGCAGCCGCGGUAAUACGUAGGGGGCUAGCGUUAUCCGGAUUUACUGGGCGUAAAGGGUGCGUAGGCGGUCUUUCAAGUCAGGAGUGAAAGGCUACGGCUCAACCGUAGUAAGCUCUUGAAACUGGGAGACUUGAGUGCAGGAGAGGAGAGUGGAAUUCCUAGUGUAGCGGUGAAAUGCGUAGAUAUUAGGAGGAACACCAGUUGCGAAGGCGGCUCUCUGGACUGUAACUGACGCUGAGGCACGAAAGCGUGGGGAGCAAACAGGAUUAGAUACCCUGGUAGUCCACGCUGUAAACGAUGAGUACUAGGUGUCGGGGGUUACCCCC
rnacentral:rRNA from 1 species